rnacentral:rRNA from 1 species
CUACGGGUGGCACCAGUGGGGAAUCUUGCGCAAUGGGCGAAAGCCUGACGCAGCAACGCCGCGUGCGGGAUGAAGGCCUUCGGGCUGUAAACCGCUUUCAGCAGGAACGAAAAUGACGGUACCUGCAGAAGAAGGAGCGGCCAACUACGUGCCAGCAGCCGCGGUGACACGUAGGCUCCAAGCGUUGUCCGGAUUUAUUGGGCGUAAAGAGCUCGUAGGCGGUUGAGUAAGUCGGGUGUGAAAACUCUGGGCUUAACCCGGAGACGCCAUCCGAUACUGCUCUGACUAGAGUUCAGGAGGGGAGUGGGGAAUUCCUAGUGUAGCGGUGAAAUGCGCAGAUAUUAGGAGGAACACCGGUGGCGAAGGCGCCACUCUGGACUGAAACUGACGCUGAGGAGCGAAAGCAUGGGUAGCAAACAGGAUUAGAUACCCCAGUAGUC